GCAACAGUUUCAUGGCUCCAUCUAUAUUUUUACUUUAUUUAUUCAUGUUGAUAGUAGAGCAAGGUACUAUGAAUAUAUACAUGACUUUCUGUUUCUGAGUAUUUUGUGGCACUCUCUUUGUCACUAGAGGAAUAUAUCUACUUAAUUUAUAACCCUUAUUUUGGAAGUUCCUUUGAAAUAGUUUUAAAACCGUGAGGUAUGUAAGCCCUUCGUAAGGGUUACCAGGUCUCUACUUUGGACUUUCUAACAGCCAAGAGGAGGAAGUAAUCAUGUGCAAGCAGCUGUUGUUGUGGGGUCAUUCGUGUCAGCCAAGCCAUCACGGCAGUGACACAAAGGCUUGUUCUCUGCUUCACAUGAGCCUGGUACUUUCUGAAGUCCGACUUUUAAUUGAAAUAAUCCGGAAUCCUAGAUAAUGAAGCUUUUCCAUUUAAGCCAAGGAUAAGAAGAUGGAUACGGGACAAUGGAUGACAUCAUGAGACACCAUGCCAUCAUUGCUGUGUUAUAUUUUGCUCUGCUCAGGAGGCAACUGCUCCACAUCAGGACUGCUUCCUGUGAGCCACUGCUAUCUUUUCAAACACUUCUGAUUCGGGGAAAUUCCCAAGGUAGGAAGCCAGUAAAGAUUUUCUCAUUUAAAAUAUUCUAGAAGUGGUCCUCCCUCCUCCUCAUGACAGCGGGAGUAGGAAAGAUAAGCAGAAUAACUUCCAUCUAAGGGAAAAAUGCUCCCAAGUUGUCUGCCCCACUUACCGCACCCUGGGUGCACCACUGUUAAUGUUUCAGUACUAAAGAGAGAAAAGCCUUUGCCUUAUGGAAGUGACUCAAGUUAAUAAGGCAUUAACAUACAGAUGCAGACUUUUGUUCCUAGGAUACUGGUAAGUGUGUAUAAUUGUAUAUCCCCGAGAAAAUUUUCCUCUACCUAUCAAGCAGUUUUCACACUACCUGUCUUUAUCUCCAUGGCUUCAGAAUUAUCGUGUGUCACUCAUGGCAGCAUAAUCAUACGUGCUCAUCCAGAAAAUACUGGUGGAUGACUUACAGUAAUGAUGUAAAAGCUUUUCUCUAUUUAGAAAAAUGUCUUCCUCCUCAAUUUCAGUACAUUUGAUACACAAAAAUAUAUUUUUACAGAAUCCAUUAUGAUUUUUACUCAUUUUUACACAUAUUGGUUCAUUUCAUCUUUACAGCAGCCUUACUAUACAGGUGGAAUGGAGCUGAUUUUGCACUUCGUAAGACUACAAUUUCUAUGCACUGGCCAAAGGCGAUAUUACUACAAAACACGUUUGCAAUAGAAAUCUGUUUUCUGAUAUCUUUACCUGCUACUCUCACCAUUUAAAAAUGCUUAAUCGUGACCUCUUGGGCUAUUUUAUGAAUAUAUAAAGAAGACUUGCAUAUUUUACAAGGCCAGAAUUUCCUGAAAAUAAUGAGUUACCACUGUGUAGUUAAAGGCACCUCUGGAAGCUUCCUCCAUAAAGAAAAGAGAGAAUCACUUUAUUUAGGGUUAAAACAAAAGAACCAACUAGAACCUCAGUCUGGUGAAUGGAAGCCCAGUCUUGUUUUUGUUGUUGUUGUUUUUUUAAUGACUUUGCAUUUUCCAGGCAGGUGUUUGUGGCUCUGAGCUAAAUCCCUGGCUUUUCUUACAUUUUUAUACUGGACUCUUAAUGUAAAAGCUGAUGCAGAGCAGAUACACAUGGUUUCAUUUUAUUG